GGGCACUGGCAGUCCAUAGGAGCCGCAUGGACCGAACACAUGGUCCACGCACAGUCCAGGUGAUUUUUUGCAUCAUCCGAUGGUCCAAAUCACAGUUGGUCGCGAUCGGAUGGUUGAGGAUGAAUCCGAACUUGAUUAGGUGAUCGGUGGCUCUGAUGUGUGUAAUUAGAUGGCUCUGGUGUGAGCCGAUCACAAUUGAACAGCCACAGAUGAUUCUAAGCUUGAUUGAGACUCUGUUUCAUAGUGUAACAGUAUUUUGAAGUUUUUGAAGUCUAUAAAACUUCGAUUGACGAGCC
rnacentral:lncRNA from 1 species